rnacentral:lncRNA from 1 species
UAUCGUCGGAUCAGAAUUCUCAAACUUUGACGCGCGAACGUUACAAUGACGUUCAAAUGAUUUAGGUUAUUAGAUUAGCACACGCGACAAUCAACUUCAUUGUUGAUGAAACGGUCCUUGUAUUUCACCUGGAGUUGUGUGCCGCCUCUGACACAGCGGUGGAGCUGUUGGUAGAUUCGAAAGCAACCGUCGCUGCCAACCCCAACAUGAUGUCGUCGCUGCCAAAUUCAAAAGCCCGAUCCGAACUGAGGCAUUUCAUCCAACACCACAAGAAAGCUUUAGCGCUCCAUCAGGCACAAUGUUAAGUGCCGUAGUGUUGGGCCAUAAUGUUCUGCCAUGACUGGGUUUGUGACCUUGCGGGGGUGACGCUGACGAAUCAGAAGAGCAGUGGUCCACGACUUUCACGCACCGUCAUUAUUCGUGUGGCGCAGUGGAACUCAGGUCUUUAUUCUGAGCCAUUGUUGUUGUGGUUUGACGUGUGUGAGGAGGCGGAACUUCGACAGAGGCGCGGAGGAACUCAGAUCUUGAUGUUGCUCUCAUUGUUUCUCAGAUCUGGAUUUGUCUGGUUCUUAAAUCUGAGUCAUGGUUGGCCACGUUUCCGAUGGUGGAGAGGACUAGUUUUUUAUUGGUCUUGACGAUGGUGAAACAAAGGACUCAUGACUUUAUAUGUAUAUCGCUUA